rnacentral:rRNA from 1 species
CCUACGGGUGGCAGCAGUGAGGAAUAUUCGUCAAUGGACGAGAGUCUGAACCAGCCAAGUAGCGUGAAGGAUGACUGCCCUAUGGGUUGUAAACUUCUUUUAUAAAGGAAUAAAACGAGGCACGUGUGCCUUUUUGCAUGUACUUUAUGAAUAAGGAUCGGCUAACUCCGUGCCAGCAGCCGCGGUAAUACGGAGGAUCCGAGCGUUAUCCGGAUUGAUUGGGUUUAAAGGGAGCGUAGAUGGGUUGUUAAGUCAGUUGUGAAAGUUUGCGGCUCAACCGGAAAAUUGCAAUUGAUACUGGCAGUCUUGAGUACAGUUGAGGUAGGCGGAAUUCGUGGUGUAGCGGUGAAAUGCUUAGAUAUCACGAAGAACCCCGAUUGCGAAGGCAGCUUACUAAUCUGUGACUGACAUUGAUGCUCGAAAGUGUGGGUAUCAAACAGGAUUAGAUACCCUUGUAGUC